rnacentral:rRNA from 1 species
CCACCGCACGGUGCUCGUCUGAUGCAGUCGACGCCGCGUGAGGGAUGACGGCCUUCGGGUUGUAAACCUCUUUCAGCAGGGACGAAGCGCAAGUGACGGUACCUGCAGAAGAAGCACCGGCCAACUACGUGCCAGCAGCCGCGGUAAUACGUAGGGUGCGAGCGUUGUCCGGAAUUACUGGGCGUAAAGAGCUCGUAGGCGGUUUGUCGCGUCGUCUGUGAAAACCCGCAGCUCAACUGCGGGCUUGCAGGCGAUACGGGCAGACUCGAGUACUGCAGGGGAGACUGGAAUUCCUGGUGUAGCGGUGAAAUGCGCAGAUAUCAGGAGGAACACCGGUGGCGAAGGCGGGUCUCUGGGCAGUAACUGACGCUGAGGAGCGAAAGCGUGGGUAGCGAACAGGAUUAGAUACCCUGGUAGUCCACGCCGUAAACGGUGGGCGCUAGGUGUGGGUUUCCUUCCACGGGAUCCGUGCCGUAGCCAACGCAUUAAGCGCCCCGCCUGGGGAGUACGGCCGCAAGGCUAAAACUCAAAGAGUUGACGGGACUGCGGAUGCGGC